AUUGAACGCUGGCGGCAGGCCUAACACAUGCAAGUCGAACGAGUGGCGGACGGGUGAGUAAUGUCUGGGAAACUGCCCGAUGGAGGGGGAUAACUACUGGAAACGGUAGCUAAUACCGCAUACCAUCGGAUGUGCCCAGAUGGGAUUAGCUAGUAGGUGGGGUAAAGGCUCACCUAGGCGACGAUCCCUAGCUGGUCUGAGAGGAUGACCAGCCACACUGGAACUGAGACACGGUCCAGACUCCUACGGGAGGCAGCAGUAGGGAAUAUUGCACAAUGGGCGCAAGCCUGAUGGAGCCAUGCCGCGUGAAUGAAGAAGGCUUUCGGGUUGUAAAGCACUUUCGGCGGGGAGGCGUUACCUACAGAGGAAGCAACGGCUAACUCCGUGCCAGCAGCCGCGGUAAUAC
rnacentral:rRNA from 1 species